GGUAAAGUGGCUGAAGUGUAGGCAAUAAACUGUAAAUUUAUUUAUGGAAUAAAUUCCCUUUACCA
rnacentral:tRNA from 1 species